CGCAGGGCUGUUCCCCCUCUGGCUCUGUGCUCCCCAGCGCAGCCUGGCUGCGGCUCAGGCUUUGCCCUGCAGGCAGCUGUGCUCUGUGACGUCCCGCAGCCGCAGCUCAGCCCAUCCUCAUCCUCCUCCUCUUCCUCCUCCCCCCCAGGAGUACACGUGCCCCAGGUGCGAGUCCGGCUUCAUCGAAGAGGUGACAGACGACUCCAGUUUCCUGGACGGCGGCGGCCUGGAGGACGGCCCUUCGGCGCAGUUUGCAGAGCUCUGGGACCAUUUUGGGACCACACCAUGGUUUCUUCCCCCGGACUU